CUGAAGCCCAGAUCGAGCUGAAACUUUGCUGAAGCAGCUUCUGCAUUUAAACACUUCAACGACUGGAAGCAGCACGCAGACCUGCAGAGAAACACAGAUGGAAAUCCAUAAACAGGAGCUGAAUAAAAGGGCUGCGGCGAUGUUCGGCGUGCACAACGGCGACUCUAAUCCACUCCAUGAGAGGAGGGAGGAGCAGGAACGGCCUGGAGAGGAGAUGGCAUGAUGUCAGCAGAGUUUCAUCUCCUUUCUGUCCGAUUUUAUUCCUUUAUUUAACCUAAAUCCAGUUUUUUAUGUUCAAAUUUUCAUUUGUUUCUAUAAAAUCAGUCUUUCUACAGGCAACGUUUAAAUGUGCACAAAAAUGUAACAAAUCUAUGGCUUCAUUAUAACCUGAGAAAUGCUGCUGUUUAUGUUUUAAAUGUCACAUUCAAUUGUGGCUUGUUCUUAACUUAUUAGAAACUUUGAUAAACUAAUUCUGAAAAAUGA